rnacentral:misc_RNA from 1 species
GAUGAAGAACGUAGCGAAAUGCGAUAAGUAGUGUGAAUUGCAGAAUUCAGUGAAUCAUCGAAUCUUUGAACGCACAUUGCGCCCUUUGGUAUUCCUUAGGGCAUGCCUGUUCGAGCGUCAUUUAAACCUUCAAGCUAAGCUUGGUGUUGGGUGACUGUCCGCUUCACGGCGGACUCGCCUCAAAAUUAUUGGCGGCCGGUACAUUGGCUUCGAGCGCAGCAGAAACGCGAACUCGGGCCCGUCGUAUUGGCUCCCAGAAGCUAUCUUCACAAUUUUGACCUUGGAUCAGGUAGGGAUACCCGCUGAACUUAAGCAUAUCAAUAAGCGGAGGA